rnacentral:rRNA from 1 species
CCUACGGGGUGCUGCAGUGGGGAAUAUUGGACAAUGGGCGAAAGCCUGAUCCAGCCAUGCCGCGUGUGUGAAGAAGGCCUUCGGGUUGUAAAGCACUUUCAGUGGGGAAGAAAGCCUUGGGGCUAAUACCCUCGAGGAAGGACAUCACCCACAGAAGAAGCACCGGCUAACUCCGUGCCAGCAGCCGCGGUAAUACGGAGGGUGCGAGCGUUAAUCGGAAUUACGGGGCGUAAAGCGCGCGUAGGCGGUCUGAUAAGCCGGUUGUGAAAGCCCCGGGCUCAACCUGGGAACGGCAUCCGGAACUGUCAGGCUAGAGUGCAGGAGAGGAAGGUAGAAUUCCCGGUGUAGCGGUGAAAUGCGUAGAGAUCGGGAGGAAUACCAGUGGCGAAGGCGGCCUUCUGGACUGACACUGACGCUGAGGUGCGAAAGCGUGGGUAGCAAACAGGAUUAGAUACCCCUGUAGUC